rnacentral:rRNA from 4 species
UACGUAGGGGGCAAGCGUUGUCCGGAUUUAUUGGGCGUAAAGAGCGUGUAGGCGGCCGCACAGGUCCGUUGUGAAAACUGGAGGCUUAACCUUCAGACGUCGAUGGAAACCGUGCGGCUAGAGUCCGGAAGAGGAGAAUGGAAUUCCUGGUGUAGCGGUGAAAUGCGCAGAUAUCAGGAAGAACACCCGUGGCUAAGGCGGUUCUCUAGUACGGUACUGACGCUGAGACGCGAAAGCGUGGGGAGCGAACAGG